rnacentral:rRNA from 1 species
CCUCCGUUCUUCCGCCGUCUCUACUCAUUCCCCCUUUUUUCCCCCCUUCUUGUGCGCCGCCGCGUGGGGGAAUGAAGGUCUUCGGAUUGUAAACCCCUGUCAUGUGGGAGCAAAUUAAAAAGAUAGUACCACAAGAGGAAGAGACGGCUAACUCUGUGCCAGCAGCCGCGGUAAUACAGAGGUCUCAAGCGUUGUUCGGAAUCACUGGGCGUAAAGCGUGCGUAGGCUGUUUCGUAAGUCGUGUGUGAAAGGCGCGGGCUCAACCCGCGGACGGCACAUGAUACUGCGAGACUAGAGUAAUGGAGGGGGAACCGGAAUUCUCGGUGUAGCAGUGAAAUGCGUAGAUAUCGAGAGGAACACUCGUGGCGAAGGCGGGUUCCUGGACAUUAACUGACGCUGAUGCUCGAAAGCGCGGGUAUCGAACAGGAUUAGAUACCCCUGUAGUC